CAUACACACAUACACACACACACACGCAAUAAAGGAAAUCAUUACACAGCGAUGAUGAUGAGACUGGCUCUUGUUUUUGUGGGUAUUUGUACGGUACUUUCAGUAGGGUAUGCCGUGCCAGUCCCCACCCCCGGGGCCUGCAGCCAGCCGCUGUCCAUGUGUAAAGCUGACCCCUGCAGUGUAGAGAGGUGCAUCUCGUUUCCUAUGGCCGACUGUGUGGCCAACUACUGCGGAGGAUGCACAGCCAUGUUCUACUUUAAUGGCCAACUACUGAGCGACGAAAUUUGCUCUGCGAUCAUUGUUUAAAGAAAAACAAUUUUUUUCUUUUGUUUAUUAAAAAUGUAUUGAAUUAAG